AUACGGGGGGAACAAGCGUUGUUCGGAUUCACUGGGCGUAAAGAGCACGUAGGCGGAAGGAUAAGUCAGAUGUGAAAUCCCGGGGCUCAACCGCGGGUCUGCAUUUGAUACUGUCUUUCUUGAGUACGAGAGAGGUUGGCGGAAUUCCUGGUGUAGCGGUGAAAUGCGUAGAUAUCAGGAAGAACACCGGUGGCGAAGGCGGCCAUCUGGCUCGAUACUGACGCUGAGGUGCGAAGGCUGGGGGAGCAAACAGGAUUAGAAACCCGGGUAGUCC
rnacentral:rRNA from 1 species